CAAGCCUGAUCCAGCCAUGCCGCGUGUGUGAAGAAGGCCUUAUGGUUGUAAAGCACUUUAAGCGAGGAGGAGGCUACUUUAGUUAAUACCUAGAGAUAGUGGACGUUACUCGCAGAAUAAGCACCGGCUAACUCUGUGCCAGCAGCCGCGGUAAUACAGAGGGUGCAAGCGUUAAUCGGAUUUACUGGGCGUAAAGCGCGCGUAGGCGGCUAAUUAAGUCAAAUGUGAAAUCCCCGAGCUUAACUUGGGAAUUGCAUUCGAUACUGGUUAGCUAGAGUGUGGGAGAGGAUGGUAGAAUUCCAGGUGUAGCGGUGAAAUGCGUAGAGAUCUGGAGGAAUACCGAUGGCGAAGGCAGCCAUCUGGCCUAACACUGACGCUGAGGUG
rnacentral:rRNA from 1 species